CUACGUGCCAGCAGCCGCGGUAAUACGUAGGGCGCGAGCGUUGUCCGGAAUUAUUGGGCGUAAAGAGCUUGUAGGCGGUUUGUCGCGUCUGCUGUGAAAGGCCGGGGCUUAACUCCGUGUAUUGCAGUGGGUACGGGCAGACUAGAGUGCAGUAGGGGAGACUGGAAUUCCUGGUGUAGCGGUGGAAUGCGCAGAUAUCAGGAGGAACACCGAUGGCGAAGGCAGGUCUCUGGGCUGUAACUGACGCUGAGAAGCGAAAGCAUGGGGAGCGAACAGGAUUAGAUACCCUGGUAGUCCACGCCGUAAACGAUGAGUGCUAGGUGUUAGACCCUUUCCGGGGUUUAGUGCCGUAGCUAACGCAUUAAGCACUCCGCCUGGGGAGUACGACCGCAAGGUUGAAACUCAAAGGAAUUGACGGGGGCCCGCACAAGCGGUGGAGCAUGUGGUUUAAUUCGAAGCAACGCGAAGAACCUUACCAGGUCUUGACAUCCCUCUGACCGCUCUAGAGAUAGAGUUUUC
rnacentral:rRNA from 1 species